UGGGGAAUCUUGGUCAAUGGGCGCAAGCCUGAACCAGCGAUGCCACGUGAGUGAUGAGGCCUUCGGGUUGUAAAGCUCUGUGGGGAGAGACGAAAAGGUUAAGUCGAAUAGGCUUAAAGAUUGACGGUAUCUCCUUAGCAAGCACCGGCUAACUCUGUGCCAGCAGCCGCGGUAACACAGAGGGUGCAAACGUUGCUCGGAAUUACUGGGCGUAAAGCGCGUGUAGGCGGACAGGCAAGUCAGAAGUGAAAUCCCUGGGCUCAACCCGGGAACUGCUUUUGAAACUGCUUGUCUAGAGUAGUGGAGAGGGAAGUGGAAUUCCUGGUGUAGAGGUGAAAUUCGUAGAUAUCAGGAGGAACACCGGUGGCGAAGGCGGCUUCCUGGACACUAACUGACGCUGAGACGCGAAAGCGUGGGGAGCAAACAGGAUUAGAUACCCCCGUAGUCC
rnacentral:rRNA from 1 species